rnacentral:tRNA from 3 species
GGAAGUUUGGGUGAGUGGCUGAAACCACCAGUUUGCUAAACUGACGUACGGGCAACCGUACCACGAGUUCGAAUCUCGUAGCUUCCGCCA